rnacentral:rRNA from 1 species
GUUUCACGUGUGUCCUAUUGGGGCGUGCAGGCUAGUUUGGGUGAAUCUACGUAGGUUGUCAGGUGUAAUGUAGGUGGUAUUAUGUUUGUCUAGAUACCAAGUUUUGUUUACAAGACGGCCGUCUGAGGGGGUAGGUCCUAGGAUGUGUCACGGGGUGGUGCGGUGCUAGGAGGUGCUAGUUGCGGCGGUAGUGCGGUGCUUGGAGCGGAGCCGAUCGGCGGGGCAGCGGAUUCGGGGACCACAGGCGCUGCAGGAGCUGGGUGGAACGAAGGGAUGGAGAGGAGCGGGGCGGCAGGAGCGGUGCGGCGGGAGCGGGACAGGCGCUGCAGGAGCUGGGCCACCUGUAGGAGUUGGGCCGCGCGAUGGGAUGGACGCCACAGUAGUGGGGCACACCCGUCGUCGUAGAGCUGGAAUAUAGUACUUGUUUAACUCAACUGCUUCCCAAUUUAUUCACAAAGUGUUCACCUUGGUAACUUUUCUGUUAUACAGUAGGAGAGUCGCAUCACCCUAUGCAUGAGGGUAAGUCUUGGACUGUUUAUUGUCGUUAAGUCCAUUUAUGUAUAUAGUGGAUGAGAAUGGAUGAAACUAGAACAUUUAGAUCUUAUACGGUAACAGAGUGUCCAGUUUUUGGUCUAGGUUUUCUCGACUUCUCUGUCUCCCUUUCCUUCUCCAUACGUGAUUUGUCCCUACGUUAUAAUUUCUUUUCUGUCCUCCGUUCCCUAGCAUUCUUUCGAUGCCGACGAUAAGAUUUACCUUAGUUGUGAGGUAGAUUCGGUGUACCCCGGUACAGCGGACCAAUGAGGUAAAAGAGACAAACAUUAUUAUGUAAAGUACUUAGUGUUCAUUUAAGUACAAUUAAUUCACAAGAAAAACUGUCCAAAACUGUGAAACCUCUACGGGUCAUUCGUCAGACGAUAGUGGGUUGUUACUGUGUGUGGUCGACGCCUUCCAGUACAAAAGAGGAUGUAGGUUGGUAUUAUAGCCGCAAACACACAGUUGUUGAUUGUAACACGUAUGUUAAUACUACGUCCGUAUGGACAAGUACACUAUUACUCACUAGUCUGAGGUGGAGUACCAGGUUUAAGUAAUUCUUGUGGUCUAUGGCGGCAAAGAUUGUUCCUUUUACAGUUAUUAUAGCUGAGACGGUAACCCAGGAGGGUUGACUGAUACAAUGGUGGCGGUGAAGUUAGGAUGUCUCCGUCGUCAAGUAUACCAUUAGUUCACAGCGAGUAUAAUUGAUGGUAUGUCUCAUUUUUGUUAACAACGAGUACAACAGAACAUGGUUUAAUUGUGAAUAACAUAUCUUCGUUUUGUUCGUGAAUUCCCCGCCUUCCCUUUACGGGCGAUACUCGUUGUAUUCGUUCAGUAUAACGUUUCGGAUGCACUGUUUGUCGCAGCUUGGUUUAGCAGUUGUCAUCAGGAACGAUGACGUCUUGUUUUAGUUAGGCUAUAUCCACUACGGUUGAUGUACCUUGUGACAUAUAGGUUAGAAAGUAAAGGAUUGACUGUCUGUGAGUUACAAAGAAAUCGACUACUUCUAACACUAACCGAUGUGUGUUUACUAUACAUGGUCUCUGUUCUGAAACCUUCCUCCUACGACGGUCUGUUGUAUGAGUGACGCGGCAGUACACCCGUGUUAGGGCAGCUGUUUAUAUUACCACUAAAUUAACUGAUGACGAACCAAGUAUGGAAAGUAAGUAUCGAGUAUGAACGGGUAAAACGGACUUAUACGACGGUCCUUUACUGGUGCUUCUACUACGUAUACCUUAUGACCUCGGGCUACCGUUGUGUUUGUUGUAACUACCAAGUGUAAUUACGUAUAUACCAAGAAACAAAUUAAAUGCUCUAGAAUAUGUAAUAAUGUUUGAUUAUAAACAGAUGAUAUCUGACGAACCUUCUGCCUUUGGAACAUCUUCGACUUAUGGAACUCGUACUACUUCUUCGAUCCUACAAGAGGGUGGUUCCAUACUUGGUUUAAGACAAUCACAGUAAAAACGUAUAGUUUUCUACGGACUUAUAAGUUUAAGACAAGGUCCACAACUUAAACUUAGGAUGGCUCAACUUGCUACAGUGUGACUACCUUGUUUGUGUUUACUAGGAGUACUAUCCCAAAUGUAAUUGGAAGGGUCUUUAGUGGUGCAGGAAUCCUUUCAAUCCCUGACGGAGGUGACACCUCGUAACGCCAAAGUUAUGCUCCCUGGACGUAAAACAACGUCUUUCCCCUUUCAUCCAAAUAAAUGUGGGCUCCAAGGCCUGCUCAACUUUGCCAACAAGUGUUCAGUUACACUACUGCUACGAUUUAUAAAAGCUCUGUUAUAUGCUAUGAAGUUGAGAGUGAAGAGUAAGUGUUCAGAACCUCAGUGGGAACUAGCAGCUCAUUCGUGACGCCGUGCUUGGCCGCAUAUAUGGAAGGCACGUACACCCCCCAACAUGGUGCGAGAACUACUAGACCACGGCCGAUUAUUACCGGGAUCCGUAAACGUCGAGAUAUAAAUACUAUGUCUAGUAUUGAACCACGUGUCCCGAUUCUCCAGAGGUCUAGAUUUAUAUCUAGAGUAUGCCUUUUAAGACGAUUAUGAUCUCGGAUUUGGAGUACGCGUCCGAAAGUUCUCGGAACCCAGACAAGGCUUAGAUCUACUCAUGUUCUAGAGUGAUUUGUGUCUAUAGUUCAACCUAGUUGCAUGCAUGUUACGGGGUUGCUGAAGAGUCCACCGUCGUUAUACACAACUCCCCUCGGUGGGUGUUUUAACAAAACUGUCCUCACAACAGCACGUACCGUUUUUUCCUCUGGCUGGGGACAUAUAAUCUCGGAUGAUACCCACGAUACUGGGUAACAGUAUAGGUAACAAAAAGGGUGCACCCCUCUCACCAACCUUAGCGACCUACGGCAUACAAGUCCGGGGACUAAUGUGGUGGGUUCUAGGUCGUGUAUUAAGACCUGGCGUUCUUUUGGCCCGGAGAGUUGAUGUAUGUCCAUAAUACAAGUAAUGAUUACACAAUAGAUGAAUGAUAGAAAUUCUUAUAUUUUUGUCAACAGAAGCAAGUGGAGAGUUCGUCUACCUUUGAACCAAUUACCUUCCCUUGUUAAACCCUUGAAACACGGUCGACUUCUGGCUCAUUGACUAAAUGUAUGUACAUACUACAAGUAAUAAUUAAACAAUAAUAGAUGAAUGGUAUAAACACUUAUUUUUGAAUACAGAACCAGCUGGAUAGUUUAUCUACUAUUAAACUAAUUACUUUCCCUUGUUCAACCGUUGAAACACGGUCUACUUCUGGUACGGUGACCACAUGUACGUCCAUAGUCAGCAGGAACGAAUAAGAAUUCGUUUAGAAUACAACAGUUUGUAAUACUCAGGUCGGUAAUAUGACGAUAAAUAGAAGCUAUAACAUCUACUAUUACUCCUAUUGGUUCUACUCCUAGAACCACUGUUACUCCACUUACGUUGUGUUAGGUCCUUUAAACAAUCACGCUCCCUCAUGAUGACGAAGUUCGAUGUCCGGUCCUUCUUCGAAAAAUUGUAGUAGAACAAGCCACCCGCGGAAAAGGUUGUCACCCGACAACUGUACAUAUAGUUCUAACUCUGAUACUCCGACCUGACCAUGAGUUUCGGUCUUUUAGUUUUCCAAUAUACUCCGACCUACGUAUAUUUUUCUAUAAGAGAGACAAUAUUAUAAUAUGAUGGUGCACAAAGUCGAUGGCUCGCUACUGCUUAGUUCACUUUAUAACUUGUUAUUACUUCACCUCCUUUCAUUAACGUGCCUCUCGAGUCUUAUAUGUGGAUAAGAACUACUUUUGUAUCGUUUGUCUCUCCGGUUUAUAAGACUUGUAUGUGUUCACCGCUGGGAAAAGGUUGAUAAAGAAGGUUUUAGUAAGAUUAAUAUAAUAUAGGAUGUAUACCCAUUAAGAAAAUUAUAACAGGAGUCUUUAAUUGGGUGUUGCUUUGUUCAGUUGUUUACCACCAUUGACUCCUGCUCCUUAACCGUGUUUGUGGGCCGUGCCUUCCCGAAGUUUGAUAUCUCCUGUUCGAUUGUUACGGGUACGUAUAUUUGUUUGUAUAUGCUGCCGUAUUGUUCGGAUUCUAUCGUGCUCUGAUACAACAAAGAGGUGUUCUAAUACGGACGUGACCGCUACUAACCAGGCAAUAUGUUUUAUAGUAUAGGCUUUGGUCGUUUCUUUCUUUAAAUCACUCGUAGCCGCUGCGUAAAGACUUUUUUUCUGUAAAUGAUAGAGAAGAUUGAGGGUCUCUUACCCAACCGCUGCUUCAUUCAUAUAAUAAUAAUAAUAAUAAUAGCGUAAUC